rnacentral:tRNA from 6 species
AAAAUCCGUCGACUUUAGAAAUCGUGAGGGUUCAAGUCCCUCUAUCCC